UAUCGACACUGUCUGACACAAUUUGAGCUUGCUACAGCAACAAAGUCUAACCUAUUCCGGUGCUCUCUUCUAUGAGACAAGCCAUUAUAUAGACUUAGACAGU
ensembl:snoRNA